AAAAAUCAAAUGUUAACAAUAAUUUUAAGUCAUAAAAAUAAAAUCAAUAAUAAAAGUGUGUUAAAAUGGACCAUUUAGAAUAAAUAAUUAAAAUAAAAUAUUAAUAUUAAAAACAUACGAAAAUAAAAAUUAUAUAAAAUUAAAUAAAACGUUAAGAAAAGUGAAAAAUAUUUUUGGGUAAUUUUAUGGACGAAUAAAAUAU
rnacentral:lncRNA from 1 species